rnacentral:lncRNA from 1 species
AACUAGAAGAAGGUACUAAUUAUAGACACAUAGGCCAUGAAGCACACCUUGCUAUUACUGCGUACUAACCAUUAUAUUGUGUUUUUCAUGUAGGGGUUCUAGAUCUCCCAGCCUCAAGAGAGAAUGAUGAUCUCUUUAUCAUUGACUGAUGUGUCCUCGAAGCAACAAAGCUAUUUUAUUUUGGGUAAUUAGGCUGAUGGGAAGGUUGAAACUACUUUUGGUAAUUAGGCGGAUGGCAUGGUAGUUUAAGCCUGAAACAAUGCUGGUGAAUAUUUUGGUAAA